AUUGAACGCUGGCGGCAGGCCUAACACAUGCAAGUCGAACGAGUGGCGGACGGGUGAGUAAUGUCUGGGAAACUGCCUGAUGGAGGGGGAUAACUACUGGAAACGGUAGCUAAUACCGCAUACCAUCAGAUGUGCCCAGAUGGGAUUAGCUAGUUGGUGGGGUAAAGGCUCACCAAGGCGACGAUCCCUAGCUGGUCUGAGAGGAUGACCAGCCACACUGGAACUGAGACACGGUCCAGACUCCUACGGGAGGCAGCAGUGGGGAAUAUUGCGCAAUGGGGGCAAGCCUGAUGCAGCCAUGCCGCGUGAAUGAAGAAGGCCUUCGGGUUGUAAAGUACUGUCAGUGGGGAAGCGUUACCCGAAGAGGAAGCACCGGCUAACUACGUGCCAGCAGCCGCGGUAAUAC
rnacentral:rRNA from 1 species